GCAUUUUCUGACCUUGCUUGUGGCCAUGAAGAGGGUGAAAGCGACGAUGAGGACGCCCUUGGACACCGGCAGCCAGUGAGCCUCCUGCAUGGUGAAGAGGAUGGCUCCAUACAGACUAGCUUUGAUGCAUGUCUAUGGAGGUGGGAGGAAGCUGAAGUUCCCUGCAAUCACGGGGAGAACAUGCAAAUUCCACACAGAAAGACCCCCUAGCCCGGGAAUCGAACCCAAGACCUUCUCACCGUUAGGUCCCAAGUUCUGGAACGAUCUCCCUCUCCAUGUGAGACAGGCCCCUUCUUUGGCUAUUUUUAAGACCCUUCUUAAAACCCAUUUUUAUUCAUUGGCUUUUAACCCAGCAUGAGACUCUAAACUGUUUUUAACUUUUAACUAUUUUUAACUUUUUAACUGCUUUUUAUCUAACAAAUUGUUCUUAGGGUAAUUUGUAUUUGCUUGUUCAAUGUGUAUUUUACUUCUGUUUUAAAUGUUAUUUUUUAGUCUGUCCUUUGCCUCUAUUUCUUUGUGGUGUUCAGCCCUUUGUUCUUCAACUGUGCUUGUUUUUAAAGGGAUUUAUAAAUAAAGUUGGUAUGGUAUAGUAUGGUAUAUCAGUUUUUUUCAUAGUAAAUUUGUCAUGUCUGUGAUCAUGUUUCGUUUAGUUAUGUUUUGCUUGGUUUUUGGACACUUUUUAGUUCCUGUUUUCACUCCCUUGCUUUGUCACCAUAGCAACCAUUAGUUUCACCUGGUUCACAUCCUCAUGUCACGCACCUGUCUCACGUUUUCACCUGCUGUCACUAAUCAUGUCACUAUUAUUUAAGCUUCCAGUUGCCAGGCUGUCUUUCUGGCGACAUCACUCUGCUUCAUGCCGUGUUUACGGUUUCAUGCUUAGUUCACGCUGCGUGUUUCAUAGUCCAUGCUGCCCUGUUCACAUCAUCGCAAGUAAGUUUUGUUUAUUAAUGCCACAGUUAGUGUUUUUGUUUCAUGUUCACAGUUAAUUGUCUUUUUGCUAGUCUUUGGUUUCAUUAGUCAAGUUUGUUCUCCGCCAUUGUGCGCGCCUUUUGUUUGCUUCUUUUUUUGUAGUUAUAGUGUUAAAAUAAAAGAUGUCAUUACCUUCACGCCAUGUCCGGUCCAAGUUCACUUGCAUCUCGGGAAA